GCUCAGGGAACCUCAUUAUGUUGCAUUUCUAAGUCGAUCCCCUCUCUGCUUUUUUUUCCAAGUCUUUUUGCUCCGGCAUUCCUUUGAUGGUUAGAUUUUUGCCUCCAUAGAGAGGCACAGGCUGAGGGAAGAGAGAGCCAUGGGAGGACCAGGAGGAAAGACUUAAUUAUUAACAGAAUGUCAGAGCACAGAGAGGUCCCCAAAGAGUUUUGGUUCUUUUAAAAGAUGAUAAAGGGUGACCUGGUGUUUAACCACAUGCAGACAUUACAGAUGCUCAUGAUCUCACCAGAAAAGGAGUGAUGAGAGAAAGCAAGGCCCACAGAAAGGCAGGUCACCCAGCCAGCAAUGGCAAGGCAAGCUGGCUGAGAAUGCGGUACCUACGAUCAGAUGGGUCCAGUUCGAAUCCCAACUUUGCCACGUACUGGUUAAGUGCGCAAGACAAGUAACAUCAUCUCAUAAGCCCAGUUCUCCUCUGUGAAGGGGUAACAAGAGUUCUACUCUGCGUGGAUGCAGAUGUAAUGAGAUCACGUACUAAGGACCCUGAAGACUCAAAGC
rnacentral:lncRNA from 1 species